GAGAGAGAGAGUUUGGAGAGUGGGUGGGAUUGAGGAUAGGGAGAAAGAGAGAUGUGUCACAAUGUGUCUUUGAUUACUGUUAUCAGGGAGAAAAAGUAUCAUUAUAGCAGCGCUCCUUUUCUUUGAUGAUGUUGUGCCUGUUUCCCAUUUACGGAGGGCAACACCCAGCAGCAAUGUCAAGACCACCCCAGCUACGCUGUCCACCUACUACAUAUGCGUCAGAAUCACCAACCGGAUUUACACUGAGUCACUCAAUAAUCAAAACUCUAAGGAGUACAAACAGCUGAGGAAACAGGUGGAGCAGAUGAUGGAUGACGUCCACAGCCCUUUGUCAGAGUCUGCCAAAUAUAUGGGUGUAUUUGAUAUAAUCUUCAGUAAUGGAUCCGUCAUUGCAAACUCGACAGUAAGGUUUGGGACUACAUUGAUGAUAACUCCAACUUUGGUUAAAGGUCUAUUUUCCACUCAUAUCCAAUCAAAUAAAUCCAAAACCCUUGACCUGGACCUCGCCUAUACUGAAGGUCAACUUCCAAUAAAAGCCACACUACCUCUUGUGGCACGUACCACAGCAACCGUAGCUGCCUUAGAUAGUACGGCUAGCCGUUCAGGAUGGGCUGGGGAUGCAACUACAUCUACAGCAAUUACUUCAUCUGGCAACAUCACAAGUAGUCAUACCCUCACAACCACCACCACUAGUCCUGACAAAAACACUACAACUAGCAACACAACCACCCCUAGUCCUGGAGAGCAUAACACUACAACUAGCAACACAACCACCCCUAGUCCUGGAGAGCAUAACACUACAACUAGCAACACAACCACCCCUAGUCCUGGAGACCAUAACACUACAACUAGCAACACAACUAACCCUAGUCCUGGAGAGCAUAACACUACAACUAGCAACACAACUAACCCUAGUCCUGGAGAGCAUAACACUACAACUAGCAACACAACCACCCCUAGUCCUGGAGAGCAUAACACUACAACUAGCAACACAACCACCCCUAGUCCUGGAGACCAUAACACUACAACUAGCAAAAUAACCCCCCCUAGUCCUGGAGAGCAUAACACUACAACUAGCAAAAUAACCCCCCCUAGUCCUGGAGAGCAUAACACUACAACUAGCAAAAUAACCCCCCCUAGUCCUGGAGACCAUAACACUACAACUAGCAAAAUAACCCCCCUAGUCCUGGAGAGCAUAACACUACACCUAGCAAAAUAACCCCCCUAGUCCUGGAGAGCAUAACACUACAACUAGCAAAAUAACCCCCCCUAGUCCUGGAGAGCAUAACACUACAACUAGCAAAAUAACCCCCCCUAGUCCUGGAGAGCAUAACACUACAACUAGCAAAAUAACCCCCCUAGUCCUGGAGAGCAUAACACUACAACUAGCAAAAUAACCCCCC
rnacentral:lncRNA from 1 species